UUCCGCUUCCGCCCGUCGGGAUGUCAACAUGGCUGAUAAUAGUGGCAAGUUAGUGACAGGAGCACCGGUACUUAGACUGUAGCGUGUUUCUUGCCAAUGGUCAAGAAGAGAGAUAUUAGAUGGAAGAAAAAGACAGCCAACGGCGAGGGGCGAGCAGUGUGCAGGGAGGAGUUUCGGCACGGCGUCGUAGGGAUGCAGAGAGGCCUCACAGCGUCAUCAUCAACCACUACGAGUCCGUUUGCCGCCACAGAUACCUCUACCGACGCCGAGGCCUCAUAGUUCGGAGACAUAAUGUUGUUUCCGCAGGUCUGCGGCUGGGCUACCGUCCACCGUGGCAGGUCGCCGGGCUGGAGGGGGAGCUUGUAUUCACGGAAUGUCGCCUGUGCCGCUCGCCGCUGUCAAACACCAUCGAACAUUACUGCCUGGCCUGCCCCACUGUUCGUGGUUUGCUACCUCAGGGGCAGCCGUUGGAUGCUGUCUGCCGCCACCUCUUGCACCACGACUUCCUCGAUGCAAUCCUUGUGCGCCACCCUCGUUUUGGUGGAUGUUCAUAAUAUGUGCCCUACGCGGCACUUGUACCGUUAGUUCUUUUUUUUUUUCUGAAUUGUGUAUACUGCAUCAACUUGCCUCCUGUUUUAGUGUGUGUGUGUGUGUGUGUGUGUGUGUA